GAUGAACGCUGGCGGGAGGCCUAACACAUGCAAGCCGAGCGGUUUUGUUUCUUCGGAAAUGAGAGAGCGGCGUACGGGUGCGGAACACGUGUGCAACCUGCCUUUAUCUGGGGGAUAGCCUUUCAAAAGGAAGAUUAAUACUCCAUAACAUAUUGAACGGCAUCGUUUGAUAUUGAAAGCUCCGGCGGAUAGAGAUGGGCACGCGCAAGAUUAGCUAGUUGGUGAGGUAACGGCUCACCAAGGCGAUGAUCUUUAGGGGGCCUGAGAGGGUGAUCCCCCACACUGGUACUGAGACACGGACCAGACUCCUACGGGAGGCAGCAGUGAGGAAUAUUGGUCAAUGGGUGCAAGCCUGAACCAGCCAUCCCGCGUGAAGGACGACUGCCCUAUGGGUUGUAAACUUCUUUUGUAUAGGGAUAAACCUACCCUCGUGAGGGUAGCUGAAGGUACUAUACGAAUAAGCACCGGCUAACUCCGUGCCAGCCGCCGCCGUAAUAC
rnacentral:rRNA from 1 species